rnacentral:rRNA from 1 species
CCUACGGGGGGCAGCAGUGAGGAAUAUUGGUCAAUGGGCGCGAGCCUGAACCAGCCAAGUAGCGUGAAGGAUGACGGCCCUAUGGGUUGUAAACUUCUUUUAUAUGGGAAUAAAGUUUGGUAUGCAUACCAUUUUGUAUGUACCAUAUGAAUAAGGAUCGGCUAACUCCGUGCCAGCAGCCGCGGUAAUACGGAGGAUCCGAGCGUUAUCCGGAUUUAUUGGGUUUAAAGGGAGCGUAGGUGGAUUGUUAAGUCAGUUGUGAAAGUUUGCGGCUCAACCGUAAAAUUGCAGUUGAAACUGGCAGU